UACGGAGGGGGCAAGCGUUGUCCGGAUUUAUUGGGCGUAAAGAGCGUGUAGGCGGCCAGGUAGGUCGGUUGUGAAAACUGGAGGCUCAACCUUCAGAGGUCAACCGAAACCAUCUGGCUAGAGUCCGGGAGAGGAGAGUGGAAUUCCUGGUGUAGCGGUGAAAUGCGCAGAUAUCAGGAGGAACACCGGCGGCGAAGGCGGGUCUCUGGGCCAUAACUGACGCUGAGGAGCGAAAGCGUGGGGAGCGAACAGG
rnacentral:rRNA from 1 species